rnacentral:rRNA from 1 species
CCCGCUCAGAAACUUAAAUGAAUUGACGGGGGCCCGCACAAGCGGUGGAGCAUGUGGUUUAAUUCGAUGAUACGCGAGGAACCUUACCUGGGCUCAAAUGUAUGUUGACGUAUUCUGAAAGGGAUACUUCUUCGGACAAUAUACAAGGUGCUGCAUGGUUGUCGUCAGCUCGUGCCGUGAGGUGUCGGGUUAAGUCCCAUAACGAGCGCAACCCCUAUCAUUAGUUGCCAUCAGGUCAAGCUGGGGACUCUAAUGAAACUGCCUACGCAAGUAGUGAGGAAGGCGGGGAUGACGUCAAAUCAGCACGGCCCUUACGUCCAGGGCUACACACGUGCUACAAUGGCCGAUACAGAGGGCAGCUACCUGGUGACAGGAUGCAAAUCUCCAAAGUCGGUCUCAGUUCGGAUCGGAGUCUGCAACCCGACUCCGUGAAGUUGGAUUCGCUAGUAAUCGCGCAUCAGCCAUGGCGCGGUGAAUACGUUCCCGGGCCUU